UAUGGGAGGGAGCGCCGCGUUGCCAUGGCAGCGAGCAUGAUUGACACAGCAUUUACAAGGGAGAUGGAUUUCUCAAAGGAAAGCUGUUGUGCAUGCAUUUGUCGGGGAUCUGAUCUGUUCGUGGUCUCAGGAUACCUUCUUUGAGAUGAGGAGACAGAAGAAGGGGGAGGAUGAGAAGACUACAGAUAUACUGAGAAGAGUAAGAUCACAGUGGAGUGAGGCUGGAAGGAGCCCAAAGGGAGGCUGCAUAGUGGCCUCCCCCGGAUUGAAGAUUCUGACAGGAGCCCUCUCCAUGCACCUCCAGUCCCUCUCUGAGCACGUCUCAGCUAUUUAUUUGGUACCUAAUA
rnacentral:lncRNA from 1 species